AUAUAAAAGAGAUGUCACCACACAGCGAGCCAGUAUAUCACCUCGUUUUCGAAAUCAAAAUCACAAGGCGGCGUGUCGAAGCAGGAAAAACAAACAUAACAACACUAAAUCAAAUUACAGAUCACCAAGUUGUGACAUCGCUUAUUUGUAAAUCAGAACACAUGUCCAAACUAAGCCUAACAGCAGGUGUUCAAAUUACAGUACUAUCCAGCAAGGCAUGUCGCUUAUUGGAAGAACAAAUCACGGGUCCAAAUUAAGCCUAACUGCAGGAAAUCAUAGGUCCAAAUCAAAACGCUGAAUUGAACAAAUCACCGGGUUGACGACGACCUCAGUCCCCCUAUCAGCGAAUCCUCUAAUGGCAGCUUCGAGCCGCGGCACACGAUCAACUACUACAACCCUCUCGUCUGGCGCACGAGGACCUCUUGGCCUGCAUUUAGAAAAGCACAAUCCGCAUAGUUAUAAAUACUAACUAUUACACAGACCUGAACCAAAAGAGUUAAAAAAUAACGAGGACCUUUAAUGAAAGGAGUGCGAUUAUACUAGGCAUAGAUUCCCUUUUUUUCAUGGUAUGUGCAUUGAAAAUUGUAACUACACCGAGAGAGAAUCAACAGUUACAACAUACCAGAAACAACAUUAGCCAAACACCUUACACAUGCCGGGCCACGCGUACUUCUGUAACCAAAACACGGGCUCAUGAUUAAAAAAACGAUCAAGGACCAUUUUUGCCAAGCUUGAUUCAGACUAUAUUCUUCCCCCUAGGCUAUAUGCAGAGUGCUGCACAAACGCACCAAACUUCAACAGUUUGAUUAUACUAAGUAUAUCUUUCCCUUUGCAUUGUUUGAACAUUCAAAAAUGUCACCAUCCCGACAGAGAUUCCUUUUGAAGUAUAUCUUUCCUUUUUGUAUUACUAGCAUUUCACGGCUUGUUGUCAAUGAAAUUUAACCAGUAUAUAUACCGCAGGGGCACGGGUACUUUAGCUAACCAACCACGGGGUAGGGCUUAAGAAAGACUACUAAGGACUUUUGGGCCAAGAUUGAUUCAGAUCUCCUUUUGUUUUUCCCAUACUUUAUUCAGAGUGCUACAAAAAUUCAUCUAACUAAUAUAAACAUUUCGCAGCUGCUCGCAUGACUGCGACCAAAAACUUACACCUUUGGCCUAGGCCGCUGCACCUGCACUUCCAGCCAACGCGGAUGGUGGUGUUUGCCGAAGCCGGGCCGCUGUGGCGUAAGGACUGCAC
rnacentral:lncRNA from 1 species